GAUGAAGAACGUAGCGAAAUGCGAUACGUAAUGUGAAUUGCAGAAUUCAGUGAAUCAUCGAAUCUUUGAACGCAUAUUGCGCUCUCUGGUAUUCCGGAGAGCAUGCUUGUUUGAGUAUCAGUAAACACCUCAACUUCCAUAUCUUUUUUGAAAUGGGAGUUGGACUUGAGUGAUCCCAACGCUUUUCCUCACCGAAAAGUGGCGGGUUACUUGAAAUGCAGGUGCAGCUGGACUUUUCUCUGAGCUAUAAGCAUAUCUAUUUAGUCUGCCUAAAAACAGAUUAUUACCUUUGCUGCAGCUAACAUAAAGGAGAUUAGUUCUUGUGCUGACUGAUGCAGGAUUCACAAAGACAGGCUUCGGCCGACUUUGUAAACUCGAUCUCAAAUCAAGUAAGACUACCCGCUGAACUUAAGCUUAUCAAUAAGCGGAGGA
rnacentral:misc_RNA from 1 species